CGAUCGGCAACAAACAAGAAGCUGGUGGUAUCCAGCAGCACAUACAUGAUCCUGCGACGUGCGAUGCGAAAGGCCGGCCUACCAACAGUCAAGCGUAACAUCCUGCAUCUUGCUAAAGGGUACCUAAGGGAACCUGGUGGUGGUGAUGGCGAUAGGGGGCACGCUGGAGGCGACAAUGUGGGUGGCGAUGGCGACACGGAUGACGCUGCGCACUUGGCCAUGCCGAGUACAUCACGGACGUUUCAUUCGCCGAUGUGUUCGUGGAGGCGAAGCGGGCGGCCGACUUCAUCGCGUCGCACCUGUGUCAUUCCAGGUUCCCGACCACCAGCAUCCACGGCGACCGGCUGCAGCGCGAGCGCGAGGAGGCGCUGGCUGAUUUCAAGUACGGCAAGACGCCGACG